rnacentral:rRNA from 1 species
UACGGGAGGCAGCAGUGGGGAAUAUUGCACAAUGGGCGCAAGCCUGAUGCAGCCAUGCCGCGUGUAUGAAGAAGGCCUUCGGGUUGUAAAGUACUUUCAGUCGUGAGGAAGGUGUUAAGGUUAAUAACCUUAGCAAUUGACGUUAGCGACAGAAGAAGCACCGGCUAACUCCGUGCCAGCAGCCGCGGUAAUACGGAGGGUGCGAGCGUUAAUCGGAAUUACUGGGCGUAAAGGGCACGCAGGCGGUUAAUUAAGUUGGAUGUGAAAUCCCCGGGCUUAACCUGGGAAUGGCAUUCAAGACUGGUUAGCUAGAGUCUUGUAGAGGGGGUAGAAUUCCAUGUGUAGCGGUGAAAUGCGUAGAGAUGUGGAGGAAUACCGGUGGGCGAAGGCGGCCCCUGGGACAAAGGACUGACGCUCAUGUGCGAAAGCGUGGGGAGCAAACAGGGAUUAGAUACC